GACGAACGCUGGCGGCGUGCUUAACACAUGCAAGUCGAACGGAAAGGCCCUUCUUUUGUUGGGUGCUCGAGUGGCGAACGGGUGAGUAACACGUGAGUAACCUGCCCUUGACUUUUGGACAACUUCAGGUAACUGGGGCUAAUACCGUAUAGUAGCUCCUGCUGCAUGGUGUGGGUUGGAACGUUUCGGCGGUUGGGGAUGGACUCGCGGCUUAUCAGCUUGUUGGUGGGGUAGUGGCUUACCAAGGCUUUGACGGGUAGCCGGCCUGAGAGGGUGACCGGCCACAUUGGGACGGAGAUACGGCCAAGACUCCUACGGGAGGCAGAAGUGGGGAAAAUUGAAAAAGGGGCGGAAGCCGGAUGAAGCAACGCCGCGUGCGGGAUGACGGCUUUCGGGUUGUAAACCGCUUUCGCCUGUGACGAAGCGUGAGUGACGGUAAUGGGUAAAGAAGCACCGGCUAACUACGUG
rnacentral:rRNA from 1 species